rnacentral:lncRNA from 1 species
CAGCAGUAUCAGGCCUCUUGGUCAAGACAUGAACUUCCCCCUUGCUAGCUAAAGCCUUGAUUUUGACUCCUCUUUCCUCCAGAUCGGACGAUCCCACCCCACCCCCUGCUAAUCUCGUUACAGGUAACUUUCCAAUUCGGCGGCCCCACAGCCAAACCCUGUGGGAGAGUCAGACCUCCACUAAUAUUUGGAGUCCCUAAAUGCCUGGAGUGAAAAAGAAAGUCUACAUACAUAAACAGGAAGUGGUUUCGAAUAUGCCUUGGAAGAGGACUGUUGGAAGCCAUUUUCUGAACUCACUAAGUCGAGGAAAAAAAAAACACAACAAACUCCUUGUGAGGUAAGGUGGGUUUGCAAGGCCUCCCGCCAUCAGAUGGUGACCGAUGUCUACCCCCCCACUCAAUUAUUCUUGCUCCAGCACCGACCCCCAAGGUGCCUUGUCGACUGGUAUCAGGAGUGACUUGCUCCCUUAUCUUAAAAUGAGCUGAUUGCAUCUUGUGAAGGAACUUACUACAGGAAUUUCUUCUUUUGUGAUUAUAGGAGCAAAUAUUACAUUUCCUUAGAA